rnacentral:rRNA from 1 species
UACAGAGGUCCCGAGCGUUGUUCGGAUUCAUUGGGCGUAAAGGGUGCGUAGGCGGCGGGGCAAGUCCGAUGUGAAAUCCCGGGGCUCAACCCCGGAACUGCAUUGGAUACUGCCUUGCUAGAGUACUGGAGAGGGAACUGGAAUUUACGGUGUAGCAGUGAAAUGCGUAGAGAUCGUAAGGAAGGCCAGUGGCGAAGGCGAGUUCCUGGACAGUUACUGACGCUGAGGCACGAAGGCCAGGGGAGCAAACGGG